GGAAGCGCAAAAAAAUGGACGAGACUUUUUUUUCCAGGCACCUUUAGAACACUCUGGCCCGCCUCCAGGCCGGACCUAGGCGCGCCGGGGGCACCCUGGGAGUUGUAGUCCGCCGGCUGGAGCGGGCCCCGCGGGGCGCAGCCGGGCUUCGGAGCGGGAGGGAGCCCCGGUGCUCUCUGAGCACGUGGGAAAGUCUUCUCAGGAGCCAGGCGCAACGUUACAGUGGGACGUUUUCAGCUUACCCCUGCUGGUAGUGAUGCCUGGGUCUUUAAACAGUGAUGCAAAUACGCGAGUCAGUCAUUGAUCAUAACAUUGCCUCUGCUUUCUCUCACGAGAAUUUUAUUUUGAAACAGGCACACCCUGAGAGGAAAAGUGAUCCUAGCUGAGUCAUUUGAUUGAUUUCCCACGGAUAAGAUCUCUGAGACUGCACUGCUUCCUGUUCUCCCCAAGAACUCAUCACUCAUCUUUUAUUGUGAUGCUAGCUGCUCUUCAGAACCUCAAAUAAAUUCUUCCUUAUUGCUUAGA